rnacentral:lncRNA from 10 species
CGAACUCCCGCGCACCGCGGAGGAGGCGGCCCUGGCGCGGGGAAGCAGUGGGAAAAUCGCAAGGAAGCCGGCGGCUGUGGGGAGUUGAUUCGGAAGUGAAGGGCCCUGGGCGACCCGGCGAGUAGAGGCAACACCAACACUCCUCCUUAGCGAGGGGUCUCCCCGCCGCGGUGGCUGCCCGGCCCCAAGGACAGGAGGGAUUUGUGCACUGACUCCUGACCCCGUCCUCCAGCGCUGCUCUGAAGGGAGAGUCUGUGCAGUGGCACCUGCGCGAAGCUGGCCAAAGCCUGCCCAGACGGCUCACCUGUGCGGGAUGGAACAAAAGAAUUUCGCUCUUGUUGCCCACUGUUGUCCAGGCUGGAGUGCAAUGGCACGAUCUCAGCUCACCACAACCUCCGCCUCCUGGGUUCAAGUGAUUCUCCUACCUCAGCCUCCUGAGUAGCUGGGAUUACAGGUCGGCUUGAGGUUUGCGAGUCCCAGCUCCCACUGCCCCUGCCACCUGCCUUUCCCUUCUCAGGACAUACACAGGACUGGGAGAAAAUAGACUAAGUAUUUGAUAUUACAGUAUUGUUAGGUUUUUAUAUGUGCGGUAUCUUAGGAGGGAACAGAAAGCAGCAGACACACCACUGACGAUGGCUUCCAGUGUGGCAGGGGCCAAAGCCCUUGCUCUGUGGCUCCAGGGGCAGCCUGUGCAGGCCCAGCCUGGGGCCACUCAUGCUCCCCAGCCCCACACGAGGCCCAUCCCGUCUCAGCAUAGGCUUCCUUCUUUCCACUGUUCCUGGAGACCCAGCAGGCUGUCAUGGGCCUUUGGUCCCUACACAGUCCACUCCAGUGGCCACCAGGCUUCUGCAGCCAUCAUUUCCCAUGUGCACGUGGGAAAGAACUAGGCCAGGCUUCUAAGUUAUCUAGACCUUCCUUUUUUUUUUUUUUUUUUUUUUUUUUUGAGACACAGUCUCACUGUGUCGCCCAGGCUGGAGUGCAAGUGGUACGAUCUCAGCUCACUGCAACCUCUGCCUCCUGGGUUCAAGUGAUUCUCUGCCUCAGCCUUCCAAGUAGCUGGGAUUACAGGUGCACACCAACACACCCAGCUAAUUUUUGUAUUUUUAAUAGCGAUGGGGUUUCACCAUGUUGGCCAGGAUGGUCUCGAACUCCUGAUCUCAAGUGAUCCGCCCACCUCAGCCUCCCAAAAUGUUUGGAUUACAGGCAUGAGCCACCACCCCUGGCCUGGACCCUCUUUUUGACAUGUGUGAGCAUAGGCAGCAAGCAAGGCCAUGCAGAGAAGGGGUGCUUCCAGACUGCCCAGGCCAGGGGCAUCAUUAAGGGUGGGACUGUCUCGAGAGUGUCAUAGGAGAGUUGAGACCAACACACAAGUGUUGGAGAUGAUGGUUGAGGCAGGAGCAAGGUUUUUUGGGGUUUUUAAGAUGGGGUCUUGCUUGUAGCUCAUAGCAAUCAUAGCUUACCGCAGCCUCAAACUGCUGGGAUCAAGUGGUCCUCCCGACUCAGCCUUCAGAGUGACUAGGACUACAGGGGUAUGGCACUGUCAGCGGAAGACUGUCAGAUCUCUGCAGCAUGACCCUCAUCCUUGUUCCCAACCUUUUCUGUCAGUCACUGUCUGCCUCCCUUUCUUUGGUUGGCUGCCCAUCAAUGACCUAUUAUCAUCAUUGCCAUAGAUCCCUGAGAAGCACUCCCCCUCCCACAGUUGCCAUUCCAAUCUUGCUACACAGUAUAAGAGCCCUCUUGGCUUCUGAGGGUUAAAUGUUGCCAUCCAGAAUGGUUAAAUGCCAUUCCAGAAUCGUGUCAUCCCCAAGACACUAAGGAGCCAAGUUCCAUGGCAGCAUCUCCUAGCCACAGAGCACAGCCACCACCAGCUUUCUAUGACACCAGUGCCCCCUCACGUCCACAUUCUGCAUUGCCUUAGUGAAGAGCGCCUCCUCUGGGCAGCUCCAUGAAACACCUUCUGGUCUCAUGUAAUAAAUCCGUUCUAACAUUCCCACUUCCCUGAGCCUUCAUCUCUACCUCAUUAAUGGUAGGCCACUAUGGUGUCCAAGCUUCCGGGAGCCGUCUGGCGUGAAGACAAGCUCCAGCUGUCCUUUGACAGGACUUUAAAUCCUGAGUCUUGGGGCAUGCACCCUUGUCAAUCAAUGCCCCACCGGUCUUCUAUUGCCCCCUCCCCGCCUGGAUCUGGUACCCCACCUGGAUCUGGUACCCUCAUGAUCGCUCCCGCAAGUGUUCUCCCAGGUCCUGCAACUUUUUGGGUGACUGAGUGAUUUCCUCCUAGGGUAGGAAAUAUUUCACUGCUUGGGCUAUGCUGAGAUGUGAUCCUGCUUGUUGGUCUGGAGGCAAUGAGAGGAGGUGGAUCUUGAGGAGGAUUAGUGUUAUCUUACAGGGUACUCACCUGUAACGGGGAGAUCUCUGCACUGUCUCCAGGCUAGAUGAAGCUGUCCUCCUCUGUCAAUGGGAAGAAGGCAGUUUCUGCUGGCCAGGAUGCUUCAGGGGACUCUGGGGGCUCAAGGUUCUUUGGUACAUCCACCCAAACAUCCCACGUCAGGCCUAGAGUCCCAUUUAUUCCUUUAAAAGCACCCAAUGGGCCGGUUACUGUGGCUCAUGUCUGUAAUCCCAGAAGUUUGUGAGGCCAUGGCAGGUGGAUCAGUUGAGGCCAGGAGUUCGAAACCAGCCUGAGGAACAUAGCAAGAUCCCCGUCUCUACAAAAAUAAAAAUAAUAGAAGCCCCCACUUUAGUACAGGAGACCUGCUGAGGAUGCACAAGUGUCUUUUGCAGCUCUGCUGCUCUUGUGAUGAAAUAUUGGUUCUCAUUUUCAGCAUGCUCUGCCUCCUGGCCACGGAAGCAAGGUUUUCUUUACAUGUUGUCUUGGGAGAGUUCCUGCCUUUCACAGCAUACUCUGAGUAGAUAGCAGGCUGAACUGCAUCUUUCAUUCUCUUGCUUCAAAGCUGCUAAGGUGAUUUAGAAAAGCUAGCCACCUCCAUAAUCCUUGCAACAGCAGCUGCUUCCACAUCUUUCAAGUGACAAAGCUACUGCAUAAGCCAAGCUUUCUCUUCAACUUCUAUCUCCUUAUCUACCACAGGUAAGAGUCUCAUGCUUCAGGACACAAGGUUAUCACCAACUGUGUGUGUGUGUGUGUGUGUGUCUUUGUUGCCUUCCGAAUGGUAAGUGAUCUACUUUUAGAUUCCUAUCGCUAGGUCUGUCUUCUAGUGCUACCUCUAUUACUCAUUGCCUUAGCUUGAAUCCUCACAAAAACAGAGCUUGAUCCUGGAACUUCGGCAUAGUUAACUUGGGACAUUCCAGGAAACUGUAAUCCAUGUAAUUCCAUGCCUAUAAUCCCAGCACUCUGGGGGCCAAGGUGGGUGAAUCAGUUGAGGCCAGGAGUUUGAGACCAGCCUGGUCAACAUGGGGAGAGAGAUUGGGAAGAGUGACCCAGGGUACAGAACCAUGAGCCACAGCUGCAGCUUCAGUCAGAGCAGGGCUGACCAGAUAUAACCAGAAGUCCCAACAGCAUCCUGGACACCUCUCCUGCCUCCUAAGGGUGCAGAAAUCUGUGACAAUGGCUAAGCAGUAUCUGCUCCUCUGGAUUCAGGUGCCUAUCUCUUGUGGAGCUUUGUUCAUUCUAGAAGUACUUGGAGAGGUCCAAGCAUCGUGCCUCACGCCUGUAAUCCCAGCACUUUGGUGGCCAAGGUGGGCGGAUCAGUUGAGGUCAGGAGUUUGAGACCAGCCCGGUCAACAUGGCAAAACCCCACCUCUGCUAAAAACACAAAAAUUAGCCAAUCGUGGUCGUGCAGACCUGUAAUCCUAGCUACUUGGGAGGCUGAGGUAGGAGAAUCACUUGAACUCGGGAGGCAGAGGUUGCAGUAAGCCGAGAUUGCGCCACUGCACUCCAGCUUGGGCAACAGAGUGAGACUACGUCUCAAAGAAAAAAUAGGCUGGGCGCGGUGGCUCACGCCGGUAAUCCCAGCACUUUGGGAGGCUGAGACGGGUGGAUUAUGAGGUCAGGAGUUCGAGACCAGCCUGACCAAUAUGGUGAAACCCCGUCUCUACUAAAAAUACAAAAAUUAGUCCAGCAUGGUAGUGUGUGCCUGCAGUCCCAGAUACUUGGGAGGCUGAGGCAGGAGAAUAGCUUGAACCUGGGAGGCGAAGGUUGGAGUGAGCUGAAAUUGUGCCACUGCACUCCAGCCUGGGCGACAAAGUGAGACUCCAUCUCAAAAUAAAUAAAAAAAUAAAAAUAAAAAUAGCAAUACAACUAUUUGGAGAGGGCCAAAUAAGUGGGGAGCACUUCUCCACACUGAGAUACAGGCGGGAACAGAACAACAAACCCCAUAGAGCUUAUGUUUUAGUUGGAGGAGACUAAGAAUAAAUACAAUAUGUAGUAGGUCAAGUGUUAAUGGGUGCUAGAAACAAGAAGUGGGGGCCAGGCACGGUGGCUCACACCUGUAAUCCCAGUACUCUGGGAGGUCGAGGUGGGUGGAUCACCUGAGAUAAGGGGUUCAAAACCAGCCUGGCCAACAUGGUGAAACCCCAUCUCUACCAAAAAUACAAAAAUCAGCUGGGCAUGGUGGCGGACACCUGUAAUCCCAGCUAGUCAGGAGGCUGAGGCAGGAGAAUUGCUG